ACCUUUAUGCUGGCUCAGAAUCUGGAAGAAUUGAAGAUACGAAUCAUCUAACAGACCUCUUACUGUACCGCUAUUAUUUUUAUCUUCUUUCCCAAGGCGGAGCUAGAAGCGCCCUCCAGUGGCACAUGCUUUGCUAAGCCACCUGCAGCCAAAGUUUGGGUUAUGUUUUUAGCACCGCGCGUGUAUUAUCUCUUCGCGAACCAAGGAGGUUGCUGCUGCGCAUGCGCCUGUCGUCAAAUGGGCGGGGAAGUUUCCGGAAGUCUUCCUUUGUGAAGAGGUGGGGUUUGAUGCUUCGCAGUCCUCCCAGGGCCGCUCUGACCUGCAUCUCUGCAACUUCUCGCCUCCUCCGCAUCCUCCUCCCACAGCGGCCGCUCGCCCCAGCCUUUCCUCGCCCUCCCAGCGGGUCUUCCCGGGGCCGCUCUGGCCCGAGUCCCUUCGACUCGCUGAUCUGGCCUCUACGGCUUCGUUGGGAGCCGCGGGUGGGUGAGCAAGGGAGUGCGUCUAUGGGGUCCAGGCCCGAGCCCCCGUGAAGACGGACACCGCCCCCGACACCCGCUUGUGCCCCGCCCCCGACUGGAGGGGUCUUUCGCGAGCCAUCCGGGCCUGGCCCGGCCCAGCCCGGCCUGCACCCUCUGUGGAGGCCCCUCGCCGGGCCCUAGAGCCCUUGGGCCCCUCGGGACCCACCCAUCUAUAAGGUCCGUUUCGGUCUGCAGCGGUUCGCGUCUGUAACUGCUGGACACUGUUUAUGGGUCAGCCAGCCUAUGGGGACUCGUGUCUGUAAGGGAUUCCCAUGGUCCCUAGGGGUCGGCCCUGUCCAUAACGACCCCAUUCACAGGCCCUUCCAUGGGUCUUUAGGGUUCACCCCUCGUCUUCCAGAGCCCGCCAACAACGGCUGUUGCUUUCGUGGGGACUGCGACCCCUGGACCUCCCGGGUCCACAAGGCCAUGCCGCGUCUAUAGAGGUCAUAUUUGCAGGGCCUCACGUCGGGUCAAGGGUCUUCUCUGUGUCUCUACGGCCCGCCUAAUCUGUAAGGGUCAGUGUUGAAGGCGGCAAUGGCCCUGGGCCGAGCUGUGGCCGCGGCACUGGCUCUAUAUUUGGUUGUUCUCGGGCCGCUGUCCCCUGGGGCCCAGGCGGGGGACUGCAAGGGGCAGCGGCAAGUUCUGCGGGAGGCACCAGGCUUCGUGACGGAUGGUGCGGGCAACUACAGCGUCAAUGGCAAUUGCGAGUGGCUCAUCGAGGCCCCAAGCCCCCAGCACCGGAUCCUGCUGGACUUUCUUUUUCUGGACACGGAAUGCACCUACGACUACCUGUUCGUGUAUGAUGGUGACUCCCCCCGUGGGCCCCUGCUUGCCAGUCUGAGUGGGAGCACCCGGCCUCCACCCAUCGAGGCUUCAUCAGGCAAGAUGCUGCUGCACCUCUUCAGCGAUGCCAACUACAACCUGUUGGGCUUCAACGCCUCAUACCACUUCUCCCUUUGCCCGGGUGGCUGCCACAGCCACGGGCAGUGCCAGCCCCUGGGGGUGUGUGCCUGCGAGCCGGGCUGGGUAGGCCCUGACUGCAGCCUACAGGAGUGCCCAGCCUACUGUGGCAGUCAUGGCACCUGCGCCUCGCCCUUGGGACCGUGUCGCUGUGAGCCCGGCUUCCUCGGACGUGCCUGUGACCUGCACCUGUGGGAGAACCAGGGGGCUGGUUGGUGGCACAAUGUGAGUGCCGGGGACCCUGCCUUUCCUGCUCGCAUUGGGGCAGCUGGUGCCUUCUUGUUCCCGCCAGGGCUGCUGGCCAUUUUUGGAGGCCAGGACCUCAACAGUGCCCUGGGUGACCUCGUCCUGUACAACUUCUCUGCCAACACCUGGGAACGCUGGGACCUGAGUCCUGCCCCGGCUGCCCGUCAUUCCCAUGUGGCUGUGGCCUGGGCUGGCUCCCUGGUGCUGAUGGGCGGUGAGCUGGCCGAUGGCUCCCUCACCAGUGAUGUGUGGGCCUUCAGCCCACUGGGCGGGGGCCGCUGGGAGCUCCUGGCAGCACCUGCCUCUAGCAGCUCAGGGCCACCAGGCCUGGCAGGUCAUGCAGCCGCCCUAGUGGAUGACUUCUGGCUCUAUGUGUCUGGUGGCCGCACUCAGCAUGACCUCUUCUCCUCUGGCCUCUUCCGUUUCCGCCUUGAUGUUACCAGUGGGGGCUACUGGGAGCAGGUGAUUCCCGCAGGUGGGCGGCCCCCUGCUGCCACCGGCCACUCCAUGGUGUUUCAUGCCCCCUCCCGCACCCUGCUGGUUCAUGGUGGACACCGGCCCUCCACUGCCCGAUUCUCUGUGCGGGUUAAUUCCACUGAGCUCUUCCAUGUGGAUCGGCGCAUGUGGAUGACCCUGAAGGGCCGGGAUGGGCUUCAGGGCCCAAGGGAGCGAGCCUUCCACACGGCCAGUGUCCUAGGCAACUACAUGGUGGUCUACGGGGGCAACGUGCAUACCCAUUACCAGGAGGAAAAGUGUUAUGAGGACGGGAUCUUCUUCUACCACCUGGGCUGCCAUCAGUGGGUAUCGGGGGCUGAGCUUGCCCCGCCAGGAACCCCGGAGGGCCGAGCAGCACCCCCCAGUGGUCGGUACUCACAUGUGGCGGCUGUGCUUGGUGGCAGUGUCCUCUUGGUGGCUGGGGGGUACAGUGGCCGGCCCCGCGGGGACUUGAUGGCCUACAAGGUGCCUCCCUUUGUGUUCCAGGCGCCUGCUCCGGAUUACCACCUGGACUACUGCUCCAUGUACACGGACCACAGCGUCUGCUCCCGGGACCCUGAAUGCAGCUGGUGUCAGGGAGCCUGCCAAGCUGCACUGCCUCCUGGGACUCCCUCAGGGGCUUGUCCAGCUGCCAGCUGCCUGGGCCUGGGACGCCUUCUGGGUGACUGCCAGGCCUGCUUGGCCUUCAGCAGCUCCGCGGCUCCUCCCCGGGGGCCUGGUGCCCUGGGCUGGUGCGUGCACAACGAGAGCUGCCUCCCUCGGCCUGAGCAGGCCCGCUGCCGAGGGGAGCAGAUAUCAGGCACUGUGGGCUGGUGGGGGCCUGCACCUGUCUUCGUCACAUCCCUGGAGGCCUGUGUCACCCAGAGCUUCCUGCCUGGCCUGCACCUGCUCACCUUCCAGCAGCCACCCAAUGCCUCCCAGCCCGACAAGGUCUUGAUUGUCCGCAGUACAACCAUCACCCUGACACCCAGCCCAGAGACUGACGUGUCUCUGGUCUACCGAGGCUUCAUCCACCCUCUGCUGCCGGGAGGGCCUGGUGGGCCAGGGGCCGAGGAUGUGGCCGUAUGGGCCCGGGCCCAGCGCCUACAUGUCCUGGCUCGGAUGGCCCGUGGCCCCGACACAGAGAACAUGGAGGAGGUGGGGCGCUGGGUGGCUCAACAGGAGAAGGAGACGAGGCGGCUGCAGCGCCCAGGGUCUGCUCGCCUCUUCCCGCUGCCUGGCCGUAGCCACAAGUAUGCAGUGGAGAUCCGGGGCCAGCUCAAUGGCUCUGCAGGCCCUGGACACAGCGAGCUCACCCUGUUGUGGGACCGGACUGGCGUGCCGGGUGGAAGCGAGAUCUCUUUCUUCUUCCUGGAGCCCUACCGCUCAUCGGCCUGUGCCUCCUACUCCUCCUGCCUGGGCUGCUUGGCGGACCAGGGCUGCGGCUGGUGCCUGACCAGCUCCACCUGCCACCUGCGCCAGAGCGGGGCCCACUGUGGGGACAGCAGGGCCGACGGGUCCCUGUUGGUACUGGUGCCUGCCCUCUGCCCACUCUGUGAGGAGCAUCGCGACUGCCAUGCCUGCACCCAGGAUGCCUUCUGUGAGUGGCAUCAGAGCACCAGCCGAAAGGGGGAUGCAGCAUGCAGCCGGCGGGGCAGGAGUCGGGGCGCCCUGAAGAGCCCAGAGGAGUGUCCCCCACUCUGCAGCCAGCGCCUGACCUGUGAUGACUGCCUGGCUAACUCUAGCCAAUGCGCCUGGUGCCAGUCCACCCACACUUGCUUCCUGUUCGCCGCCUACCUGGCCCGGUACCCGCAUGGGGGCUGCCGUGGCUGGGAUGACAGUGUGCACUCAGAGCCCCGGUGCCGGAGCUGCGACCGCUUCCUGACCUGCCACGAGUGUCUGCAAAGCCACGAGUGUGGCUGGUGUGGCAAUGAGGACAACCCCACAUUGGGCCGGUGCCUCCAGGGAGAUUUCUCAGGGCCCCUGGGUGGGGGUAACUGCUCCCUGUGGGUGGGGGAGGGCCUGGGGUUGUCCGUGGCCCUCCCUGCCCGCUGGGCAUAUGCCCGCUGUCCAGACGUGGAUGAGUGUCGCCUGGGCCUGGCUCGGUGCCACCUGCGGGCCACCUGCCUGAACACUCCCCUCAGCUAUGAGUGUCACUGCCAGCGGGGCUACCAGGGCGAUGGCAUCACCUACUGCAAUCGCACGUGCCUGGAGGACUGUGGCCAUGGUGUGUGCAGCGGUCCCCCCGAUUUCACCUGCGUGUGUGACCUGGGCUGGACAUCCGACCUGCCCUUGCCCACACCUGCCCCAGGCCCCCCUGCCCCCCGCUGCUCCCGGGACUGUGGCUGCAGCUUCCAUAGUCACUGCCGCAAGCGGGGGCCUGGCUUUUGUGAUGAGUGCCAAGACUGGACGUGGGGGGAGCACUGUGAACGGUGUCGGCCUGGAAGCUUCGGCAAUGCCACAGGCUCAGGUGGCUGCCGGCCCUGCCAGUGCAAUGGGCAUGGGGACCCGCGCCGUGGCCACUGUGACAACCUCAGCGGGCUCUGCUUCUGCCAGGACCACACUGAGGGUACCCACUGCCAGCUCUGCUCCCCUGGCUACUAUGGGGACCCCCGGGCUGGUGGCUCCUGCUUCCAGGAGUGUGGGGGUCGUGCUCUUCUCACCAACGUGUCCUCUGUGGCACUGGGCUCACGUCGGGUCGGGGGGCUGCUGCCUCCAGGUGGCGGGGCAGUGAGAGCCGGGCCAGGCCUGUCCUAUUGUGUGUGGGUUGUCUCAGCCACUGAGGUGCUACAGCCCUGUGCCCCUGGGACCCUCUGUCCCCCGCUCACCCUCACCUUCUCCCCCGACAGCAGUACCCCCUGCACGCUGAGCUACGUUCUGGCUUUUGAUGGAUUCCCGCGCUUCCUAGACACUGGUGUCGUCCAGUCGGAUCGUAGCCUCAUUGCUGCCUUCUGCGGCCAGCGGCGGGACAGGCCUCUCACUGUGCAGGCUUUGUCUGGGCUUCUGGUGCUGCACUGGGAGGCCAAUGGCUCCUCGUCCUGGGGCUUUAAUGCCUCCGUGGGCUCUGCCCGCUGCGGAUCAGGGGGCCCUGGUAGCUGCCCUGUCCCCCAGGAGUGUGUACCCCAGGAUGGGGCUGCAGGUGCUGGACUCUGCCGAUGUCCCCAGGGAUGGGCUGGCCCACACUGUCGCAUGGCUCUGUGUCCUGAGAACUGUAAUGCCCACACUGGGGCAGGCACUUGUAACCAGAGCCUGGGCGUGUGCAUCUGUGCCGAGGGCUUUGGGGGCCCCGACUGUGCCACAAAGCUGGACGGUGGGCAGCUGGUCUGGGAGACCCUCAUGGACAGCCGACUCUCAGCUGACACUGCUAGUCGCUUCCUGCACCGCCUGGGACACAUCAUGGUGGAGGGACCUGAUGCUACCUUGUGGAUGUUUGGGGGCCUAGGCCUGCCCCAGGGGCUGUUGGGAAACCUGUACAGGUACUCAGUGAGUGAGCGGCGGUGGACACAGAUGCUGGCGGGAGCUGAGGACGGGGGCCCUGGCCCCUCACCCCGCUCCUUCCACGCAGCCGCCUAUGUGCCCGCUGGCCGUGGGGCCAUGUACCUGCUGGGGGGCCUUACAGCCACGGGUGUCACCCGAGACUUCUGGGUCCUCAAUCUUACCACCCUGCAGUGGCGGCAGGAGAAGGCCCCUCAGGCUCUGGAGCUGCCAGCCGUUGCUGGGCACACCCUUACUGCCCGCCGAGGCCUGUCUCUGCUCCUCGUGGGUGGUUACUCUCCUGAAAAUGGCUUCAACCAGCAGCUGCUCGAGUACCAGCUGGCGACUGGCACCUGGGUGUCUGGAGCCCAGAGUGGAACACCCCCCACAGGUCUCUAUGGUCAUUCUGCGGUGUACCACGAGGCCACUGACUCUCUCUAUGUGUUUGGGGGUUUCCGCUUCCACGUGGAGCUGGCGGCCCCAUCCCCCGAGCUCUACUCCCUGCACUGUCCUGAUCGCACCUGGAGCCUGCUAGCCCCUUCUCAGGGGGCAAAGCCCCACCCCCGGCUUUUCCAUGCCGCAGCACUGCUAGGAGAUGCCAUGGUGGUCCUUGGGGGGCGCUCAGACCCUGAUGAAUUCAGCAGCGACGUUCUGCUCUACCAGGUCAACUGCAACGCCUGGCUCCUCCCUGACCUCACCCGUUCGGCCUCUGUGGGGCCCCCGAUGGAGGAGUCUGUAGCACAUGCUGUGGCGGCAGUAGGAGGACGCCUGUACAUCUCUGGGGGCUUUGGGGGAGUGGCCUUGGGCCGCCUGAUGGCCCUGACCCUGCCCCCUGCCCCCUGCCGCCUGCUGCCCUCACCUGAAGCUUGUAACCAGUCUGGGGCCUGCACCUGGUGCCAUGGAGCCUGCUUGUCUGGGGACCAGGCCCACGGUCUGGGCUGUGGGGUGCCCCCCUGCUCCCCAAUGCCUCAGUUGCCUGAGGAAUGUCGACGUCUCCGGACCUGCAGUGAGUGCCUGGCCCGCCAUCCCCGGACCCUGCAGCCUGGAGAUGGCGAGGCAUCUGCCCCCCGCUGUAAGUGGUGUACCAACUGCCCAGAGGGUGCCUGCAUUGGGCGCAAUGGGUCGUGCACGUCGGAGAAUGACUGUCGGAUCAACCAGAGAGAGGUCUUCUGGGCUGGGAACUGCUCAGAAGCCGUGUGCGGGGCUGCCGACUGUGAGCAGUGCACGCGGGAGGGCAAGUGCAUGUGGACUCGGCAGUUCAAGAGGACAGGGGAGACCCGCCGCAUCCUCUCAGUGCAGCCCACCUAUGACUGGACGUGCUUCAGCCAUUCUCUACUGAAUGUAUCCCCAAUGCCAGUGGAAUCAUCGCCCCCACUGCCAUGUCCCACCCCCUGUCACCUCCUGCCCAACUGCACCUCCUGCCUGGACUCCAAGGGUGCAGAUGGGGGCUGGCAGCACUGUGUCUGGAGCAGCAGCCUCCAACAGUGUCUGAGCCCCUCCUACCUGCCUCUGCGAUGUAUGGCUGGAGGCUGUGGGCGGCUGCUCCGUGGGCCCGAGAGCUGCUCCCUGGGCUGUGCUCAGGCAACCCAGUGUGCCCUGUGUCUGCGGCGCCCCCACUGUGGCUGGUGUGCCUGGGGGGGCCAGGAUGGGGGUGGCCGCUGCCUGGAGGGUGGACUCAGUGGCCCCCGUGAUGGGCUGACAUGUGGACGACCUGGGGCUUCCUGGGCCUUCCUGUCCUGCCCCCCUGAGGACGAGUGUUCCAAUGGGCACCACGACUGCAACGAUACACAGGACUGCCGUGACCGGCCACGUGGCUACGAGUGCAGCUGCAAGGCGGGCUACACCAUGGACAACAUCACGGGCCUAUGCCGCCCCGUGUGCGCCCAGGGCUGCGUGAACGGCUCGUGUGUGGAGCCCGACCAUUGCCGCUGCCACUUUGGCUUUGUUGGCCGCAACUGCUCCACAGAGUGUCGCUGCAACCGCCACAGCGAGUGCGCCGGUGUUGGGGCCCGUGACCACUGCCUGCUUUGCCGCAACCACACCAAGGGCAGCCACUGCGAGCAGUGCCUCCCACUGUUUGUGGGUUCAGCCGUGGGGGGUGGGACCUGCCGGCCCUGCCAUGCCUUCUGUCGUGGCAAUAGCCACGUCUGCGUCUCCAGGAAGGAGCUUGAAAUGGCCAGGAGGGAGCCGGAGAAGUACUCACUGGAUCCGGAGGAGAUCGAAAACUGGGUGACAGAGGGUCCUAGUGAAGACGAAGCCGUCUGUGUGAACUGUCAGAAUAACAGCUAUGGAGACAAAUGCGAGAGCUGCCUCCAUGGUUACUUCCUCCUGGAUGGGAAGUGCACCAAAUGCCAGUGUAAUGGCCAUGCAGAUACAUGUAAUGAACAGGACGGGACGGGCUGCCCAUGUCAGAACAACACAGAGACGGGCACUUGCCAGGGCAGCUCCCCCAGUGACCGCCGAGACUGCUACAAGUACCAGUGUGCCAAGUGCCGGGAGUCAUUCCAUGGGAGCCCGCUGGGCGGCCAGCAGUGCUACCGCCUCAUCUCCGUGGAGCAGGAGUGCUGCCUGGACCCCAUGUCACAGACCAACUGCUUCCAUGAGCCCAAGCGCCGGGCUCUGGGCCCUGGCCGCACUGUCCUCUUUGGUGUGCAGCCCAAGUUCACCAACGUGGACAUCCGUCUGACUCUGGAUGUGACCUUCGGUGCUGUGGACCUCUAUGUCUCCACCUCGUAUGACACCUUUGUGGUCCGUGUGGCCCCUGACACAGGCAUCCACACUGUGCAUAUCCAGCCACCGCCCCCACCCCCGCCACCUCCACCCCCUGCCGAUGGCGGCCCCCGUGGGGCCAGCGAUCUGGGGGGACCGGGGGCUGGGGGGGGGGCGGGCACCCCAGCAGAGCCGCGGGUGCGGGAGGUGUGGCCGCGGGGCCUGAUCACCUACGUGACAGUGACAGAGCCAUCGGUAGUGCUGGUGGUCCGCAGCGUGCGGGACCGGCUCGUCAUCACCUACCCACACGAGCACCACGCCCUCAAGUCCAGCCGCUUCUACCUGUUGCUCCUAGGCGUGGGAGACCCGAGUGGGCCCGGCGCCAAUGGCUCAGCCGACUCGCAGGGCCUACUUUUCUUCCGGCAGGACCAGGCUCACAUCGACCUGUUUGUCUUCUUCUCUGUCUUCUUCUCCUGCUUCUUCCUUUUCCUCUCUCUCUGCGUGCUCCUCUGGAAGGCCAAGCAGGCCCUGGACCAACGGCAGGAACAACGCCGGCACCUGCAAGAGAUGACCAAGAUGGCCAGCCGUCCCUUUGCUAAGGUCACUGUCUGCUUCCCGCCAGACCCUGCUGCCCCGGCCCCCGCCUGGAAGCCAGCUGGGCUCCCGCCACCCACCUUCCGCCGCUCUGAGCCCUUCUUGGCACCUCUGCUGCUGACAGGGGCUGGCGGGCCCUGGGGACCUGUGGGAGGGGGCUGCUGUCCACCGGCCAUCCCUGCCACCACUGCCGGCCUGCGAGCUGGCCCUAUCACCCUCGAGCCCACCGAAGAUGGCAUGGCUGGUGUGGCCACACUGCUGCUCCAGCUGCCUGGUGGGCCCCAUGCACCCAAUGGUGCCUGCCUGGGGUCAGCCCUUGUCACACUGCGGCACAGGCUGCACGAAUACUGUGGGGGCAGUGGGGGUGUGGGGGGCAGUGGGCAUGGGGCCGGUGCGGGCCGGAAGGGACUGCUGAGCCAGGACAACCUCACUAGCAUGUCCCUCUGACCCACUGCCGGGUCCUCAGCCACAGCAGCCAGGACCCCUGCUGGGGCUGCCCUGGACUUGGGGCCCGUCCACCUGAGGGUCCCUGGACUCUGUAUCCUCAAAGACCCCUGGCUCUUCCCCCAGGGAUCCCCAGACAGGGCCUUCUUCAUUCUGCAUUCAACAAUUAUUUAUUGAAUACCUACUAUGUGCCAGGCAUUGUCAAUGGCACCCAGCAAAGGAGGAAUCAAGACAGGCAAGGUCCGCGAUCUCAUGGGUCUUAGAUUCUAGUGAAGGGAAACAAUCAUCACGUGUGCACACAUGCGUGUACACACACAUGGAUGCACCUAGACAAGUAGGAACAAUGCUGGGGGAGAAGGGCCACAAGACAGCAAUGGCACGUGGCUGCUGGGGACUGCAGGGUAAAGUCAGCAAGGCAUUCCAAGAAGGGAGGCUUAGAGGUGGAGGAAGAGCCAUGGGGGCAGCUGGGGUGCUGGGUUCCCAGCAGAGGGACCUGCAAGCACGAAGGCCCUGAGGUGGGUCCGGCUCAUUUUAUUAGAUCAGAAAACUGGCCAGUGUGAGGAGGAGAUGAGGUUGGGGACUGGCCAGGGCCAGUCAUGCAGGGCCUCGUGGGCCCCAGAUGGUUUGGGGUUUUAUUCUCAGGGCAGUGGGGAGCCGUUGGACAGUUUUAUAAGGGAGAAUGACAGGAUCUGCCAUACCUGUUUUAAGAGGUCAGUCAGCUGUGGUGUGGAGAAUGGAUUGGAGGGCGCAAGGGAGGCGGCUGGGAACAAGAGAUAAGAGCUGGAUUAGGGUGGUGGCUGUGAGAGGGGAAGUUGGGGACAGAGGUGGGAAGUGUGUGGGAGGACGUAAGGAUGGUGUGGGUGUGGGCAUGAGGGAGGGGAGGAAUCCAGGAUGACCCCGAGUUUGUGGUCUGAACUGUGGGUGGGUGGCGGUGUGUAUUUCCAGGGGCAGACCGGACCCUGUGGGGAGGAUCAGGAGUCCAGUUUUAGACCUAAGUUGCCCUUCAGCCAUCUCUUCAGUCAUGUCCAGCCAGGGGAACAGAAGCUGCUGAGUAUUUCAGCAGAAGGAACUGAGUGCAGGGGAUUCGCUGUACUGGUGAGGGACACGGCUGAUUAGAGGCAGCCCAGGGGCAGGCAGGCAAAAGCAGGAAGCUGCUGCUGUCAUCUCUAGGCUGGCGGGACACAGCUCAGGUGGACUUCCCUGGCCCCAGGGUCACCCAGCUCAGAGCACAAGGAGGCAAAGCCACUAUCUGGGAUGCCACCCCAGUUGCUGCUCUGGACCUUGGGCCCCGUGGCCUCCCCUCUGCUGGGGGCCUCAGUCUAAGGCCCGUCCAUGUGUGCUAUCAGAGGCCAUCUGAAAGAGUGGGGAGCAAUUGAAGCGACAAAUAAAGAGCCUGAGGAAGACUGUG